rnacentral:rRNA from 1 species
AACUGGGAUCAAGUCCAGCGCUGAAUCGUGGCGCCUCUGGUGUUGCGAGGUGUUGCGUAUAGACCGUGAGCAUGGACGGGCCCAUCCGUUCAAGUUUCCCUUGACCGGGGCUCCAGAGAAGGUGCAAGACCUGUCCAACAGGUGGUUGCUCGUCCAUCUUCGCGCGUCUUGGAGUCGGGUUGUUUGGGAGCGCAGCCCAAAGCAGGUGGUAAACUUCAUCUAAGACUGAAUACGGCCACGAGUCCGAUAGCGAACAAGUACCGUGAGGGAAAGUUGCAAAGCACUUUGAAGAGAGAGUUAAAGAGGACGUGAAACCGGUGAGGUGGAAACGGACAGAGCCGGCGUAUCUGGCCCGCAUUCAGCUGUGGGCUCUUCAGCUUCAGUGGUUCUUCUCCAGACWGGGGCGCGUCGCUGUUUGCUGGUUGGCAUGCGGUGCAUUUGCGGGUGGAGUGCGCCGAGACGCUCGGGGCAGCGGCACAAUUCCGGUUCAGAGGCCAACUUUGUUUGGAACCCGUGCCGUGGGGAGUGUUGUUUGCYCUGGGUGUGCAGUUGGGGCGGUGGUUCCGGGCCCGGGUGGGUGCCGAGCUGGCAAUUGGUGGCGGUCGCAUGCGACACGUACCGGCGGCCAGUUCGGUCCUGCUCGAGCUCUCAACCGUUCGUUCUCGGUGUAAAAGCCGGUCAUCUGUCCGACCCGUCUUGAAACACRGACCAAGGAGUUUAGCGUGUGCGCGAGUCAUUGGGCGUWGAAAACCCAAAGGCGCAAUGAAAGUGAAGGCAUCCCUCGUUGGAGCUGACGUGUGAUCCUGGCCACACSCGGUGURCCGGGCGCAACAUGGUCCCGUUCUGGCCGCAUGCGGCGGGGCGGAGACAGAGCGUACGCGCUGAGACCCGAAAGAUGGUGAACUAUUCCUGAGCAGGACGAAGCCAGAGGAAACUCUGGUGGAAGUCCGAAGCGAUUCUGACGUGCAAAUCGAUCGUCUGACUUGGGUAUAGGGGCGAAAGACUAAUCGAAC